rnacentral:rRNA from 1 species
AACGCGAAGAACCUUACCCGGGCUUGAAAUGCAUCUGACGUAGGCAGAGACGUCUAUUCCCUUCGGGGCAGAUGUGUAGGUGCUGCAUGGUUGUCGUCAGCUCGUGCCGUGAGGUGUCGGCUUAAGUGCCAUAACGAGCGCAACCCUCAUCAUUAGUUACCAACAGGUCAAGCUGGGGACUCUAGUGAGACUGCCAUCGUAAGAUGUGAGGAAGGUGGGGAUGACGUCAAAUCAGCACGGCCCUUACGUCCGGGGCGACACACGUGUUACAAUGGGUGGUACAAAGGGCAGCUACCUGGCGACAGGAUGCUAAUCUCGAAAACCACUCUCAGUUCGGAUCGGAGUCUGCAACUCGACUCCGAGAAGCUGGAUUCGCUAGUAAUCGCGCAUCAGCCAUGGCGCGGUGAAUACGUUCCCGGGUCUUGUACACACCGA